UACGAAGGGGGCUAGCGUUGUUCGGAAUUACUGGGCGUAAAGCGCGUGUAGGCGGUUGGUUAAGUCCGGUGUGAAAGCCUUGAGCUCAACUCAAGAAAUGCACUUGAUACUGGAUGACUAGAGGACCGGAGAGGAUAGUGGAAUUCCCAGUGUAGUGGUGAAAUACGUAGAGAUUGGGAAGAACACCAGUGGCGAAGGCGGCUAUCUGGACGGUUUCUGACGCUAAGACGCGAAAGCGUGGGGAGCAAACAGG
rnacentral:rRNA from 1 species